UACGUAGGCAGCAAGCGUUGUUCGGAGUUACUGGGCGUAAAGGGUGUGUAGGCGGUUUUUUAAGUUUGGUGUGAAAUCUCCCGGCUCAACUGGGAGGGUGCGCCGAAUACUGAAAGACUAGAGUGCGGGAGAGGAAAGUGGAAUUCCUGGUGUAGCGGUGAAAUGCGUAGAUAUCAGGAGGAACACCGGUGGUGUAGACGGCUUACUGGACACAUAUUGACGCUGAGGUGCGAAAGCGCGGGGAGCAAACAGG
rnacentral:rRNA from 1 species